rnacentral:rRNA from 1 species
UACGUAGGGUGCGAGCGUUAAUCGGAAUUACUGGGCGUAAAGUGUGCGCAGGCGGCCGAGCAAGUCGAGUGUGAAAGCCCCGAGCUUAACUUGGGAACUGCGCUCGAAACUACUUGGCUCGAGUGUGGCAGAGGGGGGUGGAAUUCCACGUGUAGCAGUGAAAUGCGUAGAGAUGUGGAGGAACACCGAUGGCGAAGGCAGCCCCCUGGGCUAACACUGACGCUCAGGCACGAAAGCGUGGGGAGCAAACAGG